AGAUCUAUACCGUCCCGCGCCCAGCAAGAAGCACUGUGCGGCUGUGCUCCCCGACCCCCAAGACAUCCAUCCCCACGCCCAGCUUCCCAGGCCGGUCUUCUGCGCGGCUCCAGUCGCCCAGGUCUCAACGCAACAAUGAAGCGUGGGCGGCCCCAACGGCUUCAUUUGCAUAUCGCUGCGGCUUGGCCAAUGGGCUGUGCAGGGGCUUUGGAACGCAGUGUUGCCAUCGGCGUGCGCGCGUGUGUGCGAGUGUGACAGCGGCUGUGGCUGUGGCCGUGGCCGUGGGAGGCGGGCUCGGCGGAGCCCAGCCGCGCGGGGACCGGCCCGGGCUCCCGCUCCCCGAGCGUGUCGCGGCCGCGUGGCCCGGCCGAGCCUUGAGACCACCUCGCCCCGGCCGGUCGCAGUCGCGAUGUCGGUGGCCGGGCUGAAGAAGCAGUUCCACAAAGCCAGCCAGCUUGCUGGAGGCUGUGUGCCAGGAACACCUGUGACCCUUUCCCCGAGGGCAUUUAUUCUUUCCCCAAGAUUACACAUGCUAUUUAGUGAAAAAAUAAGUGGUGCUGAAGGAACUAAACUAGACGAUGAAUUUCUUGACAUGGAAAGGAAAAUAGAUGUUACCAAUAAAGCUGUUGCAGAAAUUCUUUCAAAAACCACUGAAUAUCUUCAGCCAAAUCCAGCAUACAGAGCUAAGCUAGGAAUGCUGAACACUGUGUCAAAGAUCCGAGGGCAGGUGAAGGCCACAGGAUACCCGCAGACGGAAGGCUUGCUGGGGGACUGUAUGCUGAAAUACGGGAAGGAGCUUGGGGAAGACUCCACCUUUGGCAAUGCAUUGAUAGAAGUUGGUGAAUCCAUGAAGCUAAUGGCUGAGGUGAAAGACUCUCUUGAUAUUAAUGUAAAGCAAACUUUUAUUGAUCCACUUCAGUUACUACAAGAUAAAGAUUUAAAAGAGAUUGGGCAUCACCUGAAAAAGCUGGAAGGCCGCCGCCUGGAUUACGAUUAUAAAAAGAAACGAGUAGGUAAGAUACCAGACGAAGAAGUCAGACAAGCGGUAGAAAAAUUUGAAGAGUCAAAGGAGUUGGCUGAAAGAAGCAUGUUUAAUUUUUUAGAAAAUGAUGUAGAACAAGUCAGCCAGUUGGCCGUGUUCAUAGAGGCAGCAUUAGACUAUCACAAACAGUCCACAGAGAUUCUGCAGGAGCUGCAGAGCAAGCUACAGAUGCGAAUAUCAGCUGCAUCCAGUGUCCCCAGACGAGAAUACAAGCCAAGGCCUGUGAAAAGGAGUGCUAGUGAGCUCAAUGGGGUUUCCACCACCUCUGUAGUGAAGACGACAGCCUACAGCAGACUGGAACCAGCAGAUUAGGAAGGCCCAAGGGACUGCUUCGGGAAGGCCAUUGACGGCAGAAAAAAGUGACAGGUCGCAGCCAGACUACAAGGGAGGCAAGAGAAAAACUAUAAAAAGCAGGAACAAAAACACUCAAAAGACACAACAGUCUGGGGGAUUUACUAAAAGACAAAGAGCCCUUCUCAGGUUCUAACAUUCCCAUGGACCAGCCCUGCUGUCGUGGUCUCUAUGACUUUGAGCCAGAAAACCAAGGAGAAUUAGGAUUUAAAGAAGGGGACAUCAUUACAUUAACCAAUCAAAUAGAUGAAAACUGGUAUGAAGGAAUGAUACACGGGGAAUCCGGAUUCUUCCCCAUUAAUUAUGUUGAAGUGAUCGUGCCUUUACCUCAGUAAAUGUGUAACACACUCUGGACAUACUUUCAUAACUGAAAUGAAUUCACACCAAUGUGCUCUCAGUGUGGUGUUCUGUGACAUCCUUUGCUAUUUGACCAACUUAAUGACUUUUGUAUGUGUGUUCUCUUUAUAAUGUAUUUUGUAUCACUUUAGUUUGUAUAAAUGAUUUUCUUGUCUUUGCUACAUGAAAAUAUUGUUUUCUUUUUUGCUUCUUGUGCUAAAAGUCAUUGGUUAAACGUAUAUGCUUCCUGUUACUAAAAAUAAGUCUCACCCAUUGCAGUUAUGUCAAUGAAUGGCCUGUAUUCCUCAGCUGCAAUGAAAUGGUAACAUUUGAAACUAAGAAAUGCUAAAUAUUUUGUUUCUCGACAUUCCUGAUGACAUCUGGUCUUUUUUCUUCAUUGUAUUUUAAGCUUACCUGUGAAUAGCCCAAUAAACAUGACACACUGUGUUGGCAAAAGGC